CUUUACUGUAGCCUGGUAUUGGGUUCGGGCUUUGACUGCGCAGGAUAGGUGGGAGACUGAGAAGUGUGCCUUGUGGGGCACAUAGAGUCAACGGUGGGAUACCACUCUGUCAGAGCUAGGAUUCUAACCUUCACCCGUGAUCCGGGGAAGGAACCGUAUCAGGUGGGCAGUUUGACUGGGGCGGUCGCCUCCUAAAAGGUAACGGAGGCGCGCAAAGGUGUUCUCAGGCUGGUUGGAAAUCAGCCGUAGAGUGUAAAGGCAGAAGAACGCUUGACUGUGAGAGUGACAACUCAAGCAGGGUGGAAACACGGCCUUAGUGAUCCGACGGUAUGCGCGUGGAAGUGCCGUCGCUCAACGGAUAAAAGUUA
rnacentral:rRNA from 1 species